CGUAUAUUAAAGUUGUUGCAGUUAAAAAGCUCGUAGUUGGAUCUGGGUGGCAUGACUGCUUACUGUUGCUUGGCUGCUUAGUUUAUACCUAUAAGCUGAGUUGGUUGAGUCGGUCUAGUGGUUGUGUAGCCUUUCUGCCGUGUCUGUUUCGACAGGUGUUGAUUGGGUUGAUGGGUUCUUCCUGUCGGCUCGUCGACAUGUUUCUAGGUGCCUUUCAUCGGGUGUCUGGGGCGGACGGCAUGUUUACUUUGAACAAAUUUGAGUGCUCAAAGCAGGCCCUUGUGCCUGAAAAGUCUUGCAUGGAAUAAUGGAAUAGGACUUCGGUUCUAUUUUGUUGGUUUUCGGAUCCGAAGUAAUGGUUAAGAGGGACAGACGGGGGCAUUUGUAUGGCGGCGUUAGAGGUGAAAUUCUUGGAUCGUCGCCAGACAAACUACAGCGAAAGCAUUUGCCAAGGAUGUUUUCAUUGAUCUGGAGCGAAAGUCAGAGGUUCGAAGACGAUCAGAUACCGUCCUAGUUCUGACCAUAAACGAUGCCAACUGACGAUCCGUGGUGGUUCUAUUAUUGGCCGCACGGGCAGU
rnacentral:rRNA from 1 species